rnacentral:rRNA from 1 species
AUUGAACGCUGGCGGAAUGCUUUACACAUGCAAGUCGAGCGGCAGCGCGGGGCAACCUGGCGGCGAGCGGCGAACGGGUGAGUAAUACAUCGGAACGUGCCCAGAUGUGGGGGAUAACUACUCGAAAGAGUGGCUAAUACCGCAUGUGAUCUGAGGAUGAAAGCGGGGGACCUUCGGGCCUCGCGCAUUUGGAGCGGCCGAUGGCAGAUUAGGUAGUUGGUGGGGUAAAGGCUUACCAAGCCUGCGAUCUGUAGCUGGUCUGAGAGGACGACCAGCCACACUGGGACUGAGACACGGCCCAGACUCCUACGGGAGGCAGCAGUGGGGAAUUUUGGACAAUGGGCGCAAGCCUGAUCCAGCCAUUCCGCGUGCAGGAUGAAGGCCUUCGGGUUGUAAACUGCUUUUGUACGGAACGAAAAGGUUCUCUCUAAUACAGGGGGCUGAUGACGGUACCGUAAGAAUAAGCACCGGCUAACUACGUGCCAGCAGCCGCCGUAA